AUACGGUCAAAUCACGCUGAAAACACCGGUUCUCGUUCGAUCACCGAAGUUAAGCAUCGUAGAGCUAGGGUCAGUACUUAGAUGGGGGACCGCUUGGGAACACCUGGUACUGUAAG
rnacentral:rRNA from 1 species